AGAGUUGAUCCUGGCUCAGGAUGAACGCUAGCUACAGGCUAACACAUGCAAGUCGAGGGGUAGCAGGGUAGCAAUACCGCUGACGACCGGCGCACGGUGAGUAACACGUAUCCAACCUUCCCAUAACUCAGGGAUAGCCUUUCGAAAGAAAGAUUAAUACCUGAUAGUACUUUUUCAAGGCAUCUUGAAAAAAUUAAAGAUUUAUUGGUUAUGGAUGGGGAUGCGUUCCAUUAGAUAGUUGGUGACGGUAACGGCUCACCAAGUCUUCGAUGGAUAGGGGUUCUGAGAGGAAGGUCCCCCACAUUGGUACUGAGACACGGACCAAACUCCUACGGGAGGCAGCAGUGAGGAAUAUUGGUCAAUGGGCGAGAGCCUGAACCAGCCAAGUAGCGUGAAAAGGGUAUGAAGGUCCUAUGGAUUGUAAACUUCUUUUAUAGUAGAAUAAAGUGAGCCACGUGUGGUUUUUUGUAUGUAUACUAUGAAUAAGGAUCGGCUAACUCCGUGCCAGCCGCCGC
rnacentral:rRNA from 1 species